GUUUAGUGGCAAGUUCUUUAGCCUUUGCCUUUUUGCGCUUGGCGAUACGAGCCACAGACUUAGGACCCAGGACAUUGCCACCCCAGUGACGGCGGAUCUCAUCGUAUCUGUCAUUGUAAUUGCGGGGCCAUUUCACAAAGCGGGUGAGGUCUCUUUUGGGCUGGAUGUCCUGUCCAAUGCCAAAAUUCUUAGGCCUUUUCUCAAACAGGGGAUUCACCACUUUCUUAGCCUCCUGCUUCUUCACGACAGCUGGGGCCGGAGCCACCUUCUUUCCCUUGGCCUUCUUUCCUUUCGGCAUCUUGGGC
rnacentral:lncRNA from 1 species